rnacentral:rRNA from 1 species
CCUACGGGUGGCAGCCGUGGGGGAUAUUGCACCAUGGGGGAAACCCUGAUGCAGCGACGCCGCGUGGGGGAAGAAGUAUUUCGGUAUGGAAAGCCCUAUCAGCAGGGAAGCAGAAAUGACGGUAACUGCGUGAGAAGCACCGGCUAAACACGUGCCAGCCGCCGAGGGAAUACGUAUGGUGCAAGCGUUAUCCGGAUUUACUGGGUGAAAAGGGAGCGCAGGGGGGACGGUAAGCGUGAUGUGAAAGCCCGGGGCCCAACCGAGGGACUGCAUUGGGAACUGCCGGGCUGGAGUGCCGGAGAGGUAGGCGGAAUUCCUAGUGUAGCGGUGAAAUGCGUAGAUAUCACACAGAACACCGAUUGCGAAGGCAUCUCAC